GACGAACGCUGGCGGCGUGCUUAACACAUGCAAGUCGAACGGAAAGGCCCCCUUGUGGGGUACUCGAGUGGCGAACGGGUGAGUAACACGUGAGUAACCUACCCUUGACUUUGGGAUAACUUCAGGAAACUGGGGCUAAUACCGGAUAGGAGCUCCUGCUGCAUGGUGGGGGUUGGAAAGUUUCGGCGGUUGGGGAUGGACUCGCGGCUUAUCAGCUUGUUGGUGGGGUAGUGGCUCACCAAGGCUUUGACGGGUAGCCGGCCUGAGAGGGUGACCGGCCACAUUGGGACUGAGAUACGGCCCAGACUCCUACGGGAGGCAGCAGUGGGGAAUAUUGCACAAUGGGCGGAAGCCUGAUGCAGCAACGCCGCGUGCGGGAUGACGGCCUUCGGGUUGUAAACCGCUUUCGCCUGUGACGAAGCGUGAGUGACGGUAAUGGGUGAAGAAGCACCGGCUAACUACGUG
rnacentral:rRNA from 1 species